UAGGGAAUCUUCGGCAAUGGACGAAAGUCUGACCGAGCAACGCCGCGUGAGUGAAGAAGGUUUUCGGAUCGUAAAACUCUGUUGUUAGAGAAGAACAAGGACGUUAGUAACUGAACGUCCCCUGACGGUAUCUAACCAGAAAGCCACGGCUAACUACGUGCCAGCAGCCGCGGUAAUACGUAGGUGGCAAGCGUUGUCCGGAUUUAUUGGGCGUAAAGCGAGCGCAGGCGGUUUCUUAAGUCUGAUGUGAAAGCCCCCGGCUCAACCGGGGAGUGUCAUUGGAGACUGUGAGACUUGAGUGCAGAAGAGGAGAGUGGAAUUCCAUGUGUAGCGGUGAAAUGCGUAGAUAUAUGGAGGAACACCAGUGGCGAAGGCGGCUCUCUGGUCUGUAACUGACGCUGAGGCUCGAAAGCGUGGGGAGCAAACAGG
rnacentral:rRNA from 1 species